CACCUACACACACCUCAUACUGACCCUACCCUGCUGUGGUCUGAGGUAACACACCUACACACACCUCAUACUGACCCUACCCUGCUGUGGUCUGAGGUACCACACCUACACACACCUCAUACUGACCCUACCCUGCUGCCUCUCAGAGUUCUACUGGCCCUCGUCCAUCUACUGACCCUACCCUGCUGUGGUCUGAGUGGGUCUCCUCUUCUCCAGCCAGCCCAGGUCUGUGAUGUGAUGAAGGGUUUCAUCGUGGUGUUGUGUUACGUCAUGAUGAGCUACGUGGAUUACAGCAUGAUGUACCACCUGAUCAGAGGACAGUCUGUCAUCAAACUCUAUAUCAUCUACAACAUGCUGGAGGUUGCAGACAGGUUGUUUUCUUCGUUUGGUCAGGACAUUCUGGACGCUCUCUACUGGACCGCAACAGAACCUAAAGAGAAGAAAAGAGCUCAUAUAGGAGUUGUUCCUCACUUCCUCAUGGCUGUUCUAUAUGUCUGUAUCCUUACUGAACCUAAAGAGGAUAAGAGAGCUCAUAUAGGAGUUGUUCCUCACUUCCUGUCUGUAUCCUUACUGAACCUAGAGAGAAGAAGAGAGCUCAUAUAGGAGUUGUUCCUCACUUCCUGUCUGUAUCCUUACUGAACCUAGAGAGAAGAAAAGAGCUCAUAUAGGAGUUGUUCCUCACUUCCUCAUGGCUGUUCUAUAUGUCUGUAUCCUUACUGAACCUAAAGAGGAUAAGAGAGCUCAUAUAGGAGUUGUUCCUCACUUCCUGUCUGUAUCCUUACUGAACCUAGAGAGAAGAAGAGAGCUCAUAUAGGAGUUGUUCCUCACUUCCUGUCUGUAUCCUUACCUACUGAACCUAAAGAGAAGAAGAGAGCUCAUAUAGGAGUUGUUCCUCACUUCCUGUCUGUAUCCUUACUGAACCUAGAGAGAAGAAGAGAGCUCAUAUAGGAGUUGUACCUCACUUCCUGUCUGUAUCCUUACUGAACCUAGAGAGAAGAAGAGAGCUCAUAUAGGAGUUGUUCCUCACUUCCUGUCUGUAUCCUUAGUGAACCUAGAGAGAAGA